AUUGAACGCUAGCGGCAUGCCUUACACAUGCAAGUCGAACGGCAGCACGGGGGCAACCCUGGUGGCGAGCGGCGAACGGGUGAGUAAUGCAUCGGAACGUGCCCAUCGAUGGGGGAUAACUGCGCGAAAGCGUUGCUAAUACCGCAUACGACCUACGGGUGAAAGCAGGGGACCGCAAGGCCUUGCGUCGAUGGAGCGGCCGAUGCCGGAUUAGCUAGUUGGUGAGGUAAAGGCUCACCAAGGCGACGAUCCGUAGCUGGUCUGAGAGGACGACCCAGCCACACUGGGACUGAGACACGGCCCAGACUCCUACGGGAGGCAGCAGUGGGGAAUCUUGGACAAUGGGCGAAAGCCUGAUCCAGCAAUGCCGCGUGUGGGAAGAAGGCCUUCGGGUUGUAAACCACUUUUGGUGGGAAAGAAAUGGUCUGUGCUAAUACCACGGAUUGAUGACGGUACCCGCAGAAUAAGCACCGGCUAACUACGUG
rnacentral:rRNA from 1 species